UACGUAGGGUGCGAGCGUUUGUCCGGAAUUAUUGGGCGUAAAGGGCUCGUAGGCGGUCUGUUGCGUCGGGAGUGAAAACUCAGGGCUUAACCCUGAGCCUGCUUCCGAUACGGGCAGACUAGAGUGCGGUAGGGGAGAUUGGAAUUCCUGGUGUAGCGGUGGAAUGCGCAGAUAUCAGGAGGAACACCGAUGGCGAAGGCAGAUCUCUGGGCCGUAACUGACGCUGAGGAGCGAAAGCGUGGGGAGCGAACAGG
rnacentral:rRNA from 1 species